rnacentral:misc_RNA from 1 species
UACUUCUCAAGAAAUUUCAGUGCCUUCUCAAGAAAGGAAGGGCCUCCAUCUAUAUCUUCUAAGGCAAGCAGAAUUGGUCUCCCAACAACAAAAGAUUUAACAGGGUGUUUAUCCUUCCAUUGGUGGAAAGACCCUUCAAAGGAAUCACUAGCAUCAUUCCGGAAAAUGCCAUCCUGUCCCAUCACCAAAGCAGCACUAGGUGCUUGUGCAAGAGCAUGCUCCAGCGCAGUCUUCCACUCAUACAAAUCCUCUGAUGUCUCUGCCUUAAGUGUAAAAGCUCGUCCAUCGCGUCCGUCUGGAAACAGUACAGUCAAUAGCUUUUUAUCUUCUCUGACAACAACACUCCCUGAAUUAUUCAAGUCAAUUCCUCCCAAAGUUAGAUUCACUUCACCUCCUUGCUGUGGAAGUGUACUAGGAUCAUUCUUGAAAAAGACCAGA